CCUACGGGAGGCAGCAGUGAGGAAUAUUGGUCAAUGGACGAGAGUCUGAACCAGCCAAGUAGCGUGAAGGAUGACUGCCCUAUGGGUUGUAAACUUCUUUUAUAUGGGAAUAAAACGUUCCACGUGUGGGAUUUUGUAUGUACCAUAUGAAUAAGGAUCGGCUAACUCCGUUCCAGCAGCCGCGGUAAUACGGAGGAUCCGAGCGUUAUCCGGAUUUAUUGGGUUUAAAGGGAGCGUAGGUGGAUUGUUAAGUCAGUUGUGAAAGUUUGCGGCUCAACCGUAAAAUUGCAGUUGAAACUGGCAGUCUUGAGUACAGUAGAGGUGGGCGGAAUUCGUGGGGUAGCGGUGAAAUGCUUAGAUAUCACGAAGAACUCCGAUUGCGAAGGCAGUUCACUGGACUGCAACUGACACUGAGGCUCGAAAGUGUGGGUAUCAAACAGGAGUAGAUACCCGUGUAGUC
rnacentral:rRNA from 1 species